rnacentral:rRNA from 1 species
GACGAACGCUGGCGGCGUGCUUAACACAUGCAAGUCGAACGGAAAGGCCCUGCUUUUGUGGGGUGCUCGAGUGGCGAACGGGUGAGUAACACGUGAGUAACCUGCCCUUGACUUUGGGAUAACUUCAGGAAACUGGGGCUAAUACCGGAUAGGAGCUCCUGCUGCAUGGUGGGGGUUGGACAGUUUCGGCGGUUGGGGAUGGACUCGCGGAUUAUCAGCUUGGUGGUGGGGUAGUGGCUUACCAAGGCUUUGACGGGUAGCCGGCCUGGGAGGGUGACCGGCCCCAUUGGGACUGGGAUACGGCCCAGACGCCAACGGGAGGCAGCAGUGGGGAAUAGUGCACAAUGGGCGGAAGCCUGAUGCAGCAACGCCGCGUGCGGGAUGACGGCCGUCGGGUUGUAAACCGCUUGCGCCUGUGACGAAGCGUGAGUGACGGUAAUGGGUAAAGAAUCACCGGCUAACUACGUG